rnacentral:misc_RNA from 1 species
AAGUCGUAACAAGGUUUCCGUAGGUGACGUCCGAAAGGUUCGCCUGCUGGAGCUUUGGCCCAGCGACUCGAAACAAGUGCUACUCAGGUCGACUUCGGUCGGCAAUGUCACCACCGUGAGCCGGGGUCAGUCACCGGCAGCCCCCCGGUGUUCGCGGGGGGUUCACAGGUCAGAUGGUGCCAGCCGCCCCCCCGCGGGGGGCCGGGUCCAGACAUGAUCGGCCCCGGGGCGCCUCCACACGUGCCCCGGGAAUCAGCUGGAACCCUGCGGAAGGAUCGAUUCAAAGAGAGGGACGUUCGGCGUCCCCGGGGGUCUUCGGCCCCCGUCCUCUUCACCCCCGUGUUUAGCCGUUACCCACAUUCGUUGCUUGGCAGGCCCUGGGGUCGUGCUCAUGCCGCCCGGGGUUUCCCCGGGGGCGAGCGCCUCCGAAAGCCCGUUUAAAUUCCGUUGAAUCACCAUGCAGUCUGAGUGAAACAAAAUUCAAGCAAAA